rnacentral:sRNA from 1 species
CCCUGCUGGGGGCAGACAUAGUGAACGUGGGAGUCGAUGCCUCCGGCGGUCAGGAUGAGGUGUUCGCCGGAAAUGGCGUCGGUGUUGUUGCCGACCACCAGCAGGGGGUCCACGUUGUCCAUGGUGGAGGGGUUGCCCGCCUUGCCGAUGCCCACGAUUUUGCCGUCGCGGACGCCGACGUCGGCUUUGACCACGCCCUGCACGGCGUCGAUGAUGGUCACGUUGGUGAUCACCAGGUCGAGCACGCCGGUAUCGCGGUGCGAGCGGUCGUCGCUGCCCAUGCCGGCGCG